UUGCCAGAUUGGGCUACAAAAUCAAGUUC
rnacentral:piRNA from 1 species